ACUAUUUUUAUGCUUAAUGGCAAUGACCACUAUUAUUUAUUAUUUUCUCUCGAUUACAGGAUGCUUUACUUGGGUGUCUAGAAUAUGGGCUGGCAUUCUUUAAGGCUGCACUUUUGUGCAGCCGGGUCCCGGGGCUAAUUUUGCAGUGCUCUCGAAAAGCGGGCAUUCGGUUUUCUUUCUCUUCCUUUCAUGCAACCUGUUUUCUCUUUCUGAUCCUUUAAAGUUCCUGGCUGAGGCUGGAUUGUGUAGAAAUAAGGGCAUUAGGGAUCCAAGCGGGCCAUAAAAGAAACCCAUUUCUCACUGUCAUCGUCCUCUGUUCUGGUUAUCAUAUUGUGACGUGUCGCCUCUGUCAUGGUGUUGAUGAACCUGUGUGUGCAGUCAUAGAUACAUCGUGUGUGUUUGCAAAAAUGUGCGUGUUUCUCUGGAGAUUUGAGGGGGAAAGAGCACUAGAAAGAGCUCAUCUGAUAGAUGCGGAAAUCCGAACUCAGAAAGUAAACUAGGUAGAGCUUCCUUCCAGGUUUGGUUUUUUCUAAGUACUAGCGCAGGAACUUUAUAACAGAAGUUGGAAAAUGAGAGACUUCUGUAUAAAUCUUUCUAGCUUUGGGGAUCUUUCAAGAUUCACACCAUAACCAUGUCUUCCUUUUUCUCCUUAGUAGCAAACAUGUUUUAAAACAAUCAAUGAAAAAAGUAGAAAAGUUUUAACAAAAAAGUAAUCAGACUCUGGAAAAUAUUAUGCAACUUGUUUUCCUUUACAGUAGUAGUGUACUGUUUCUUUUCCUUGUAAGUUUACUGUGUCCCAAUUAUACUGCUGCCCCAGACUAUGAAUUUAUUUCCACUUUUGCUGUUAUCUACACCAUAGAUUCAUUAGUUUCUCAGAAAUACAAAGCUGAAAAUAAAAGGCAGCUCUGUGGCUAAGAUUAGUCUCAAGUAAUAUAUAUCGUGCAUAUUUUGUAAAUGUGAAAAAAGGUUUAUAUUUUUAAGCAUAAAAAAUGACAGUGUAAAUUGAGUCAGGUACCUAUGCUCUUCAAGAUCGUUGGAACCAUGAGAACUACAGGAAUUCAGUUUUACUGACUGACGUUUGGCCUUUAAAAUUUAUGCUUAGCUUUGUGUAGUCGAAAGCAAGGCUUCUGAAUGCUUUUUCAAAAAAUGCUUUGUCACACUUGGAAUCCGCAGGCAUCCAGGUAUCAUUCCUUGCAGAUUUCUUCUAGCAAGUAUGAGACUAAAACCUAGGGCGGUUUAAUAUGUAAUCUCAGGUGUGAACAUUUUGUCUUCUAUUUCUACCACUUAGUACCAAACAUUUAGGCAAAUGAGAUAGUUAUUAUGAAAAUUAAAUCCAUGGCUUGGUAUAUUUUAUAUGUAUAUAUGUUAUUCUAACACAUCUGACUCGCUUUGUCUAUGGAAAUGAUAUAUCAGUAUAGGAUGAGUUUAGACAGGACAAACAAAAUUCAAUUUAGAUUAUUUUAUAGUUCUUAUAUUUUUGAAAAUAUUAUCCCCUCAAUUUUCUUUCUUCUUUUGUAAAAUAACGUGUUUUUGAAAUAAUGAAUAACUCCCUUUUGGAUUUUAAGGGUCUGCUUUUUCUGAUGUAUGUACGGUCAGCCUAUUUAUUUGUUCCGUCCCCUUUGCAGUUUGGCAGAACCUUAUGAAGAAGCUUCCCAAACUGAACCACAGUGCUUUCACUCUAUUAGCAAAUUGUACUAAAGAUGCCAGCGUAAUGAUGAGUGCCAAGGUUAUAGACAUCCUGCAUUUUUUAAAUGUUGCUAAAAUGAGAUAAAAGCCUUAUGCAGAAGCAACCGCAGGCACCCCGCAGGGCGAAUGAGGAAAGAUCCAGCUCUGACAGAAUAAUGAGUUGUGCAAAGUGAAGGCCAAAUGACAUCACCGGAGAUAGCAGUAGUUCAAAGAAAGCAAAGCAGAGGAAUUGAACUGCUGCAAAAUGCACGAGUCUCAAACAUUGUCUCAGCAGCAGCAUCAUAUCUUACAAAAGUUGAGGAAAUACUGUAUUUCCAGCUUAGGAAACUGAAGACUCAAACUGAAACGCUGGCUCUUCCUGGGUCUCAGGCCUGCCAGCCUUCAGGCUAGAACUACACCACUGGCUCUCCUGGGUCUCCAGCUUGCUGAAUCGUCAUGAAGAUCUUGGGACUUGUCAGCCUCCCUAAUCACAUGAAGCAAUUCCUUGUAAUAAAUCUCUUUAUACAUACACAUACAUGCAUACAUAAAUACAUACACACACACACACAUACACACACAUCCUAUUGUUCUGUUUCACUGGAAAACUGAUUAAUACACAGGGCAAAGCCCAAAUUCCUUAACACAGUUAAAAGAUCCACUAUGACUUGGUCUCUGCAAAAUCCUCCAGCUUUUCUCUUUCUCUGCACUUUCCCCCAGCUUCGCUCUCUUGACUGCAGUAGCAUCCAGCUUUGGUCAUAUUUUUGACAUACC
rnacentral:lncRNA from 1 species